UACGAAGGGGGGCUAGCGUUGCUCGGAAUUACUGGGCGUAAAGGGCGCGUAGGCGGAUAGUUUAGUCAGAGGUGAAAGCCCAGGGCUCAACCUUGGAAUUGCCUUUGAUACUGGCUAUCUUGAGUUCGGGAGAGGUGAGUGGAAUGCCGAGUGUAGAGGUGAAAUUCGUAGAUAUUCGGCGGAACACCAGUGGCGAAGGCGACUCACUGGCCCGAUACUGACGCUGAGGCGCGAAAGCGUGGGGAGCAAACAGG
rnacentral:rRNA from 1 species